rnacentral:rRNA from 1 species
GAUGAACGCUGGCGGCGUGCCUAAUACAUGCAAGUCGAGCGAACAGACGAGGAGCUUGUUCCUCUGAUGUUAGCGGCGGACGGGUGAGUCACACGUGGAUAACCUACCUAUCAGACUGGGAUAACUUCGGGACACCGGAGCUAAUACCGGAUAACAUGUUAAACCGCAUUGUUCAACAGUAAAAUACGGUCUUGCUGUCACUUCUAGAUGGAUCCGCGCCGCAUUAGCUAGUUGGUAAGGUAACGGCUUACCAAGGCAACGAUGCGUAGCCGACCUGAGAGGGGGAUCGGCCACACUGGAGCGGAGACACGGUCCAGACUACUGCGGGAGGCAGCAGUAGGGAAUCUGACGCAAUGGGCGAAAGCCUGACGGAGCAACGCCGCGUGAGUGAAGAAGGUCCUCGGUGCGGAAAACCCUGUUAUUAGGGAAGAACAAAUGUGGAAGUAACUAUGCACGUCUUGACGGUACCGAAUCAGAAAGCCACGGCUAACUACGUG